rnacentral:lncRNA from 1 species
AAAGAAGAGCCGAUUGGUAAGCUAAAAAACAUAUAAUUAGAUAUUACGUUUGAGAUCAUAUAUUAUGUGUGGAAUUUAAACUGUUCUGAAAUAAUUGGUUAUCCAAAAAGCAGGCGGGCACAGUGCUAAAAACAGGUUUGCCUAUGGAGAGACAUGCCGGGAAGGUAUACACGCCGGCAUUGUUCAAGCUCUUCCAAGAAGCAUGCUUUAAAUCUGCAUCCUACUUCGUCGAGAACACUUGCGUAGUCAAAGAUACAUACCGCGUGACACACCUUUAUGCCGAGCGUAGAGAAAGUUGGUCCAAGACUUCUUACAACGUCAAAGUGGCUCAACCUGAAAAUUUGUUUCAAU